rnacentral:rRNA from 1 species
UACGAAGGGGGCUAGCGUUGUUCGGAUUUACUGGGCGUAAAGCGCACGUAGGCGGAUCGAUCAGUCAGGGGUGAAAUCCCAGGGCUCAACCCUGGAACUGCCUUUGAUACUGUCGAUCUGGAGUAUGGAAGAGGUGAGUGGAAUUCCGAGUGUAGAGGUGAAAUUCGUAGAUAUCGGGAGGAACACCAGUGGCGAAGGCGGCGACCUGGGCCAAUAUUGACGCUGAGGUGCGAAAGCGUGGGGAGCAAACAGG